rnacentral:tRNA from 1 species
AGGGAGACAAACAAUGAUUUUGAUGCCUGAGUGCUUUUAUUCUUAGGCCGAAAUCCUGUCACCUUAGGUCGAUCGGUACCUCAGCUUUGAAGCCAUCAAAUUUGCAGCGAUGCAGAGGAGGAUGGUGGAGAUUCUUAGUUCCUAAACUUUGUCUAGGUCACACCCCAAAAGGGAUGAGACUCCUGGGCCAUUAGCUCAGGUGGUUAGAGCGCACCCCUGAUAAGGGUGAGGUCCCUGGUUCAAGUCCAGGAUGGCCCAUUCGGUGUUGGGGGUUUAGCUCAGUUGGUAGAGCGCCUGCUUUGCAAGCAGGAUGUCAGGAGUUCGAGUCUCCUAACCUCCACUGACCGAACUGUAUCCCAUCUCCAGAGAUUGAUGGAGUAUGAGCUCGAUUGGUGUGUGAUUUAGAUGUGUCCGCUGGAUGACCCCAGCUUCCUGUCAUUCCAAAUGAGAGCAAAAAGAUUUGCUUGUUGAAUUUGGUUGAUAAGAUGCUGGGCUCAAGUUAAAUGAUCAAGCAAUUGAUGAUUUGAUUUGAAGUUCUAGCAGAACCUUGACAACUGCAUAGGUGAGUCUGGAAAGAAUAAAGCAUCUCUCAUGGAUGCAUCAUUCUUUUUGGAAUGAUGUUGAUUCUUGAGCAAGAGCCGAGACUCCAUCACGUUCUUUUGAUUGUGUCGAGCAAUCAGGAGUUUGAUUCUUGAUUCAGCAAUGAAUCAGGGAGAAUCUGUUUCAACAACAGCAAGCGUGUUGGAGAUUAUAU